AUUGAACGCUGGCGGCAGGCUUAACACAUGCAAGUCGAGCGGGGUGAUGGUGCUUGCACUAUCACUUAGCGGCGGACGGGUGAGUAAUGCUUAGGGAUCUGCCUAUUAGUGGGGGACAACAUCUCGAAAGGGAUGCUAAUACCGCAUACGUCCUACGGGAGAAAGCAGGGGAUCACUUGUGACCUUGCGCUAAUAGAUGAGCCGAAGUCGGAUUAGCUAGUUGGUGGGGUAAAGGCCUACCAAGGCGACGACCUGUAGCGGGUCUGAGAGGAUGAUCCGCCACACUGGGACUGAGACACGGCCCAGACUCCUACGGGAGGCAGCAGUGGGGAAUAUUGGACAAUGGGGGGAACCCUGAUCCAGCCAUGCCGCGUGUGUGAAGAAGGCCUUAUGGUUGUAAAGCACUUUAAGCGAGGAGGAGGCUCUUUUGGUUAAUACCCAAGAUGAGUGGACGUUACUCGCAGAAUAAGCACCGGCUAACUCUGUGCCAGCCGCCGCGGUAA
rnacentral:rRNA from 1 species